UAAGGAAUAUUGGACAAUGGGCGCAAGCCUGAUCCAGCCAUGCCGCGUGAGUGAUGAAGGCCCUAGGGUUGUAAAGCUCUUUUGUGCGGGAAGAUAAUGACGGUACCGCAAGAAUAAGCCCCGGCUAACUUCGUGCCAGCAGCCGCGGUAAUACGAAGGGGGCUAGCGUUGCUCGGAAUCACUGGGCGUAAAGGGUGCGUAGGCGGGUCUUUAAGUCAGGGGUGAAAUCCUGGAGCUCAACUCCAGAACUGCCUUUGAUACUGAGGAUCUUGAGUUCGGGAGAGGUGAGUGGAACCGCGAGUGUAGAGGUGAAAUUCGUAGAUAUUCGCAAGAACACCAGUGGCGAAGGCGGCUCACUGGCCCGAUACUGACGCUGAGGCACGAAAGCGUGGGGAGCAAACA
rnacentral:rRNA from 1 species